rnacentral:lncRNA from 1 species
CUUCGUGCAGAGAGCCGGACGGGACAUUCCCUCGCCUAGCUCCAGGAGUCCUCAGAAGCGAGGGUGAGUUGUCCAGAGGAGGGGAGGGCCCCCACCCUGGGCUGGGGAGAAAGGAGAGUGGGGACCCUAAGGUGGGGUGUUCCUGAUGCCCGGUCCCACUCUUUCCCAGGGUUUCCUGCUGCCUCCCCUCCUGCCCAGGUGGUUUUCUCUGCGUCGCUGGGAGCAAAGUUUGCAGCUCGGUGGACGGACGAGCUCAUAUAAAGCAAAGUUCUUGGAUAAAAGGCCUCGAAGAGGCGUGGCCACCUCUCACCUCCCCUCCCCCCUCAUCCAGAGCCGGGGCUGCUGUUAGCAAAGAAGUCCCACACGUGGGAAUAGAGGGACAAGCAGGUCAAUGGAACAGAAUUAGAUACCCUCCCCCCUCCCAAGACCUGGACAUUUAGCGACAAUUGGCGACAUCUCAGCCUCUGACAGAAAGAUGGAGUUUUUAAGAUGUGGUGUUCAGACAACCAGAUGGGCGUUUGGAGAAACACGAAAUUAUACAUAGGUCUGAAACUGUAGCGGUGAUGGAUUGAAACAUUUUGUGAAUAUUUUGAAAACUCGGGAACUGCAUACGCUUGAAGGGUGAAUGUCGUGGUAUGUGAAUUAUAUCUCAGUAAAAAUACUUUUUAAAAUGGAGGACCGCCCCCCGCCCCAAGUGUACUGACGUCUGCAACUUUGAAAUGCAUUGAAAAGUUAGAUGAAUUAGCGGAUGGAUAGAGGGAUGCAUACAGUGGAUAGAAAC